GCGUUACUCGGAAUUACUGGGCGUAAAGCGUGCGUAGGCGGUUUGUUAAGUCUGUUGUGAAAGCCCCGGGCUCAACCUGGGAAUGGCAAUGGAAACUGGCGAGCUAGAGUACGGUAGAGGAGAGUGGAAUUCCCGGUGUAGCAGUGAAAUGCGUAGAGAUCGGGAGGAACAUCAGUUGCGAAGGCGGCUCUCUGGACCAGUACUGACGCUGAGGCACGAAAGCGUG
rnacentral:rRNA from 1 species